ensembl:ncRNA lncRNA:CR44525 long non-coding RNA:CR44525
UGUAGUUCCUUUUUUGACAUGCUGCAAAUUAAACAAGAGCAAAAAAAAAAGUAAAAUAAAGAGGUUGAAAGACGCUUGCCGAAGUAAAUUACUUUUUGCUACAACUGCACACAAUCAAAUGCAAGGGGAUUAAAAACCAACAAGUAACAUGUAACAGCGAUAUCACCUUUGGAUUAUGCACUAAAAAACACUCAGGAUUAAAAUCGAUUCAUUCUGCAAGUUAGAAAAAUGCAUCAAAUUUCAGUUUUCCAGCCAAAAUCCAAAGGAAUGCUGAAUGCAUGAGACCAUAUUAUUUCGAUUUUCCAAUCUUAAUUGAAUUUUGGAUUUUGACAAAUACUAUACAAUAGAUAUAAUUUUUACUCUCAGUGUACGAAACGCUCAGUUGCGGCCUGUCAGUCUGGAUAAAGGAUGAGGUAAACACCCCAAAAAGAAUGGAACUGGGUGCAACCUGGCAAACCUCCGGCGGCAUUUGCAUACCUGAUGCUAAAAAACUAUGUUAAUGUGUGAGCUAUCCGGGAUUGAGGCGAGCUGGCAAGCAAGUUCCUCGCCCGAGAAGGAGAACCAGCUGUGAGUCCGCCGGCGGGACAAACCGCAGACAUUGAAAGUGUCGCCCGCUCCGUUCGUUUCCUUUCGUCCUGUCUGCCUGUCUAUCUCUAUAAAUCUCUACGGAUGUGUUGUUAACUGCCGUCGGGCUUCUGAAUUACUCCCCCUUGGAUUUUUCCGCCUCCCAGACACGAAAGGGCGGCGGGGCGUGGCAGGGAGGUGGCGCCUCAAUUUGCACGCUUCGUUAUUCAAUUAGACACUUGGCACACAAACACAGCGAGUGCAGAGAAGGAGAAAGGGCAAAUUGGGAAGAGCAGCGACUACAAGGGACGCAUAAUUUUGAUUGAUGGCCCAAUAAUGGCGGUGAUUUAUCAUAUUUGCAUGCUAACAUUUAAGCCAACGAACGGCUGGUCUGCUCUUGAAGCCAGUUAGCGAAUGUGUCUGCGAAUUAGCUGCAUAUCAUAAUUGAAUUUAACCCUUUCAAUCUAGAAAUUCAAUGCAUGGAUUGUACAGAAACCCAUAGAAAUUACUUUAAAAUCUGUAUAAAUUGAGUCUUAUAAUAGUUUUUUAAAAAUAUCUUAAAAUAUAUAUACUUUGUAUAUACCUUUUGAGUACAUAUCUUAUAUAUCUUAUAGUGCCCAGGUUAGCUAUAAACUUUUUCUUUUACUGGCC